rnacentral:rRNA from 1 species
GUUGGGUAGGGGAGCGUUCUGUAAGCCUGCGAAGGUGUACUGUGAGGUAUGCUGGAGGUAUCAGAAGUGCGAAUGCUGACAUAAGUAACGAUAAUGCGGGUGAAAAACCCGCACGCCGGAAGACCAAGGGUUCCUGUCCAACGUUAAUCGGGGCAGGGUGAGUCGACCCCUAAGGCGAGGCUGAAAAGCGUAGUCGAUGGGAAACGGGUUAAUAUUCCCGUACUGGUGGUAACUGCGAUGGGGGAACGGAGAAGGCUAGGUUGUCCGGGCGACGGUCGUCCCGGUUCAAGCAGGUAGGCAGAGUGAUUAGGCAAAUCCGGUCACUUAAUGCUGAGAUGUGAUGACGAACCACUAAGGUGGUGAAGCAAUUGAUGCCCCGCUUCCAGGAAAAGCCUCUAAGCUUCAGGUUACCAACAAUCGUACCCCAAACCGACACAGGUGGUCAGGUAGAGAAUACUCAGGCGCUUGAGAGAACUCGGGUGAAGGAACUAGGCAAAAUGGUGCCGUAACUUCGGGAGAAGGCACGCUGGCGGUAGGUAAAGUCCCUUGCGGACGGCGCUGAAGCCAGUCGAAGAUACCAGCUGGCUGCAACUGUU